rnacentral:ncRNA from 1 species
UUAAAGCUUUAUUUUGGCUUUGUAAUUCGUUAUUAAUUUGUUUUAUAUGUAAAUUUUUGUGAGAGAUGCUAUUUAUUUAAAUAAUAAAUAACAUAAAUAAGUCGCAGUAAUUAAUAUUAUUGAUUAAGGAAACUUAGAAAUAGAAAUAUUAGUUAACAUUGGCUAAUUUCGUGCCAGCAGCCGCGGUUACACGAAUGAUGUAAAUGAAUUUCAUCAGUAAAAGUUAAAUAGUUAUUUUAAAAUAAAAAUAAAUUUAUUAGGUGAAAUUUUAAAUUUAUAAAUUUUUAUAUAGUAUUUAUUGAAGCUUAAAAAUUUUAGUAAUAAACUAGGAUUAGAUACCCUAUUAUUUAAAAUGUAAACUUAUUGCUAGAGUAGUAGUAGUUAUGUUCUUGAAACUUAAAAAAUUUGGCGGUAUUUUAGUCUAUUCAGAGGAACCUGUUCUGUAAUCGAUAUUCCACGAUGGACCUUUCUUGAGCUUGUAUUUCAGUUUAUAUACCGUCGUUAUCAGAAUAUUUUAUAAGAAAAAUAAUUUUCUAUAAUUUUUAUAAAAAUUUAUAUCAGAUCAAGGUGUAGCUUAUGCUUAAGUAGAAAUGGGUUACAAUAAAGUUAUUUAUAUGGAUACAAAUAUGAAAAAUUUGUUCAAAGUGGAUUUGAUAGUAAAAUUAUAAAGAUUAAUAAUUUGAUUUUAGCUCUAAAAUAUGUACACAUCGCCCGUCGCUCUUAUUACUAAGGUAAGAUAAGUCGUAACAUAGUAGAUGUACCGGAAGGUGUAUCUAGAAUGAC